AUGUGGGACAGCUGAGACAAGGAUGUGUACCCUGCGCCCCCGCGCCACAUGCCAGCACUGUCAUCGCAGACUUGGCUGCCCAACCCCGUCGUCUACCUGAUGAAGGCCUUCGACCUCCUAGUGGACCGACCGGCGACCCUCGUGAGAGUUUAUAGAGUGGCAGCACGCAAAGAACAGGUAUUACUACUACCACCGGCAGUACUGCCGCGUGCUGGGCAUCACUGAGCGCAAGGAGAAGAACAUCUUGUGUCCGAAAUGCAGUGGAGGAGGGACUACAAAGUCGAUCAAGAAAUCGUCAAUAUUAUCCAGGAGCGGCUCAAGACCUGUCAGUAGUGGGAAGAAGACAACUACAGGUAGAACUGGGCCAAGGAAGUGGAGCAUUCACCCAGGUGGCCAAGGCUUACCAGGACCGCUAUCAGGACCUGGGGGCCCACCAUUCUGCCAGGAAGUGCCGGGCCAAACACAAGCAGAGGAUGCUGGAAGAGAGAAAAGCUGCAAAAGAGGCCACCGCUGCCGCCUCC
rnacentral:lncRNA from 1 species